CAUAGCCCGAAGAAAUUCGGAUUAAUGCUCCAUGGUUUAUCGAUAUGGCAUCGUAUUGAUAAUAAAGAUUUAUCGGUAUAAGAUGGGCAUGCGUAUCAUUAGCUAGUUGGUGUGGUAACGGCAUACCAAGGCAACGAUGAUUAGGGGUCCUGAGAGGGAGAUCCCCCACACUGGUACUGAGACACGGACCAGACUCCUACGGGAGGCAGCAGUGAGGAAUAUUGGUCAAUGGAGGCAACUCUGAACCAGCCAUGCCGCGUGCAGGAUGACGGUCCUAUGGAUUGUAAACUGCUUUUGUACAGGAAGAAACCUCCCUACGAGUAGGGACUUGACGGUACUGUAAGAAUAAGGAUCGGCUAACUCCGUGCCAGCAGCCGCGGUAAUACGGAGGAUCCGAGCGUUAUCCGGAAUUAUUGGGUUUAAAGGGUUCGUAGGCGGCUUUGUAAGUCAGUGGUGAAAUUUCCUAGCUUAACUAGGACACUGCCAUUGAUACUGCAGAGCUUGAAUAAUAUGGAAGUAACUAGAAUAUGUAGUGUAGCGGUGAAAUGCUUAGAUAUUACAUGGAAUACCAAUUGCGAAGGCAGGUUACUACGUAUUUAUUGACGCUGAUGAACGAAAGCGUGGGGAGCGAACAGGAUUAGAUACCCUGGUAGUCCACGCCGUAAACGAUGGAUACUAGCUGUUCGGUUUUCGGACUGAGUGGCUAAGCGAAAGUGAUAAGUAUCCCACCUGGGGAGUACGUUCGCAAGAAUGAAACUCAAAGGAAUUGACGGGGGCCCGCACAAGCGGUGGAGCAUGUGGUUUAAUUCGAUGAUACGCGAGGAACCUUACCAGGGCUUAAAUGUAGAUUGACAGAUUUGGAAACAGAUUUUUCUUCGGACAAUUUACAAGGUGCUGCAUGGUUGUCGUCAGCUCGUGCCGUGAGGUGUCAGGUUAAGUCCUAUAACGAGCGCAACCCCUAUUGUUAGUUACCAGCGCGUAGUGGCGGGGACUCUAGCAAGACUGCCGGUGCAAACCGUGAGGAAGGUGGGGAUGACGUCAAAUCAUCACGGCCCUUACGUCCUGGGCUACACACGUGCUACAAUGGCAAGUACAGAAAGCAGCUACCUGGCAACAGGAUGCGAAUCUCCAAAGCUUGUCUCAGUUCGGAUUGGAGUCUGCAACUCGACUCUAUGAAGCUGGAAUCGCUAGUAAUCGGAUAUCAGCCAUGAUCCGGUGAAUACGUUCCCGGGCCUUGUACACACCGCCCGUCA
rnacentral:rRNA from 1 species